GCCAGUCGGUGGUAGAGUCUAAAUUCCACUGGUUCGUUUUAUGCGUGGCAUGUCGCUUGCGAAGUAGAUGGACAAACUGAGACGGGCACCGAGCGAGAAAUCUGGAAACUUCAGAAGGACGUAUCGACGAGGGGGGGCGUUGCAGAUCAAGACUUACGAGAUAUUGCAGGGACCAUGUGGAUCCAAAAAAACUUGACAGUUGUUACAAAAAAUGUAGUUUCGAUGAAUAAAAAGCUGGCAAGAAAAAAAAAAAAAAAAAAAAAACUGAGACGCUGUGGUCCCAGCGUGAAUUAAAGGAUUAAAUAAGAGGCGAUCGGUCCUGCAAAAUGGCAAAGUAGCCGAGAUGGAAUGCAGGGGGUUCUGGGUGGCACACCGAGUCUAGGAUUCUGGUCGGCGUCCGGUCGACCUUCGGGCCUUCGAUCGACGCCGAAUUCUGAAUGGCUCGUCGCAGCGGCGUCGGCGUGAUCGUUGUUGCCCGCACGUUUAUCCGACAUCCAUACCCUAGCUAACCUCGAAGAGGAAGACAACGGACGCCAGGGUAACGGUUAUCCCUCGCGGCGCUGGCGUUUCGAUCGCCUCGCCCCAGGGAAAGGAGCCAAGACUAAGGAGAAACUGCCAAAAAAGGGAACGCCCCCUCACUUUUCGAGUACAGGAAGCACCGUCUAUGUAUAAGCGGCUACGGUAUAUUCCUGCCCACCUUCCUCGUUCGUUCCCUUUAUCGCGGCGUAAAAACGUCUCGACGCAUGCUGCUUACUUCUUACUUACUUAUAUAUGUAACCUGCACGUAUUGACGUAGGCUGUAUAAUAUUAAUAAUAUACGGAUGCGGUAAAAGUAGCUAGGCGAAAUGCGAGAGGCGAGAAACAACUUCGCUCCUGCCUUUUUCUCACCAUUUCAUUGCGCGAGGAUCGAAAUGACCAGAUAUUAGGUAUGUUACACGAUAACGGUUACAUUCACGCUGCGUAUUUAAGAGACAGCCAGCUACUAUAAACCAGAAUUUGUAGGUGCAGUUCGAUCCGAUUGCCUGGAGAUGCAGCGAGGAUAUUGGAUAACGUACACGAUAUUAUUGGAUCUACCCUCAUUGAUCGAUGGAUAAAACUUUUUUGCCAUGGACAGAGAGGACUUUUAAACGUACAAAAAUUACACUAGCCAACAUGGGAACCAAAAAUAGUGAUAUGCAACAUGCGAAGGGUGGAGUUCACCGUUCACCAUGACCCACCUACCUAUAGUAAUACGAGGGGCUGGGGUGACGACCAUGGGAAGACCCUUCGGACAGGGGGAGGAAUUGGGGCGAGGCCGAGAGCGUGGCUUCCAAAGGUUGAGGCGGGCACGGAAGUGGGUUAGAAAAUGUACCCCCAGUGCCAUAAAGUCUAUUAUGAUGUGUAAGAAUCAUAGAACGUCGUGAUUUGUAUUCUUAUAAUGUAUUGUCGCAGCACCAUUGGAUUGAAAGUGAACUGGAAUUGUUAUACAAAUAUACACGAUGUAUCGACGUUAUUUAAUUAGACGAACAUAUAUGUAUAAUACACGUGUAUGUGUAUCUGACUGCAUCGUUUUAACAAUAUAACACAACCCAGGCAAAUGUUA